GACGGAGGGUGCAAGCGUUGCUCGGAAUCACUGGGCGUAAAGCGCGUGUAGGCGGUCCGAUAAGUCGAUUGUGAAAGCCCGGGGCUCAACCUCGGAAGUGCAUUCGAAACUGUCGGACUUGAGUACGGGAGAGGGAAGUGGAAUUCCUGGUGUAGAGGUGAAAUUCGUAGAUAUCAGGAGGAACACCGGUGGCGAAGGCGGCUUCCUGGACCGAUACUGACGCUGAGACGCGAAAGCGUGGGGAGCAAACAGG
rnacentral:rRNA from 1 species